GACGAACGCUGGCGGCGUGCCUAAUACAUGCAAGUCGAACGCAGUGGGGACGGGUGAGUAACACGUGGGUAACCUCCCAUCAGAGGGGAUAACACUUGGAAACAGGUGCUAAACCGAUACUGAUGGAUGAACCCGCGGUGCAGUAGCUAGGUGGUGAGGUAACGGCUCACCAAGGCCACGAUGCAUAGCGGACCUGAGAGGGUGAUCAGACACACUGGGACUUGGACACGGCCCAUAGUCCGACCGUAGUGAGCAGUAGGAAAUCUUCGGCAAUGGAGAAAAGACUGACCGAGGAACGCCGCGUGAGUGAAGAAGGUUUUCGUAUCGUAAAACUCUGUUGUUAUAGAAGCGGUAUCUAACCAGAAAGCCACGGCUAACUACGUGCCAGCAGCCGCGGUAAUAC
rnacentral:rRNA from 1 species